AUACGGAGGAUCCGAGCGUUAUCCGGAUUUAUUGGGUUUAAAGGGUGCGCAGGCGGCCAUUUAAGUCAGCGGUUAAAUCGUGGGGCUCAACCCCAUUCUGCCGUUGAUACUGGGUGGCUUGAUUGCGGUCGAGGUUGGCGGAAUUCGUUGUGUAGCGGUGAAAUGCAUAGAUAUGACGAAGAACACCGAUUGCGUAGGCAGCUGACCAGACCGCAAAUGACGCUCAUGCACGAAAGUGCGGGGAUCGAACAGGAUUAGAUACCCUGGUAGUCCGCACAGUAAACGAUGAAUACGUGUUUUCGGCGAUAUAAUGUCGGAGGCAAAGCGAAAGCGAUAAGUAUUCCAUCUGGGGAGUACGCCGGCAACGGUGAAACUUAAAGGAAUUGACGGGG
rnacentral:rRNA from 1 species